AGUGAACGCUGGCGGUAGGCCUAACACAUGCAAGUCGAACGGCAGCACAGUAAGAGCUUGCUCUUACGGGUGGCGAGUGGCGGACGGGUGAGGAAUACAUCGGAAUCUACUUUUUCGUGGGGGAUAACGUAGGGAAACUUACGCUAAUACCGCAUACGACCUACGGGUGAAAGCAGGGGAUCUUCGGACCUUGCGCGAUUGAAUGAGCCGAUGUCGGAUUAGCUAGUUGGCGGGGUAAAGGCCCACCAAGGCGACGGUCCGUAGCUGGUCUGAGAGGAUGAGCAGCCAAAAGGGAAAUGAGACACGGUCAGGACUCCUGCGGGCGGCAGCAGAGGGGAAUAUUGAAGAAGGGCCGCAAGCCGGAACCACCCAUCCGGGGGGGGUAAAGAAGGCGUGGGGUUUGUAAGCCCCUUUUGUGGGAAAAAAAAAGAAGCAGUUUAAUCCCCCCUUGUCAUGCCGGACCCAAAAAAAAAGGCUAGGGCUACCUUCGGC
rnacentral:rRNA from 1 species